rnacentral:rRNA from 1 species
CUCUCGCAUCGAUGAAGAACGCAGCGAAAUGCGACAAGUAAUGUGAAUGNCAGAAUUCAGUGAAUCAUCGAAUCUUUGAACGCACCUUGCGCUCCUUGGUAUUCCGAGGAGCAUGCCUGUNUGAGUGUCAUGAAUCUCUCAACUCUUAACGUUUCUGUAAUGGAUUCAUUGAGAGCUUGGACUUGGAGGCUUGCCGGUAGUCAUUAUCAGCUCCUCUUAAAUACAUUAGCUCUGGAUUACGAUGUAGUUUAUCUACGGUGUGAUACAUGUCUACGCUAUUAGAUAACUACGAACGUUACCAUUCCCUAGAAAUUGGGGAGUAGUGCUUUGUUGAUACAGAGCCGUGUGACUAGUAAAUACAAAGCUUCUAAUCGUCCUUUGGGACAAACUUCUUUUGACAUCUGACCUCAAAUCAGGUAGGACUACCCGCUGAACUUAAGCAUAUCAAUAAGCGGAGGAAAAGAAACUAACAAGGAUUCCCCUAGUAACUGCGAGUGAACCGGGAAAAGCUCAAAUUUAAAAUCUGGCAUCCUUCGGGUGUCCGAGUUGUAUUCUGGAGAAGCGUCUUCCGUGC